rnacentral:miRNA from 1 species
UACUGCUGCUACUGAACAUGAUGAUGAUGAUGAUGAUGAUCAUCAUCAUCAUCAUCAUGAUCGUGAUCA